rnacentral:tRNA from 1 species
AGGGCUUUAGUUUAAUAAAAACAUUUGAUUUGCAAUCAGAAAAUGCGGAGUAAAAUCUGCAAGUCCUA